GACGAACGCUGGCGGCGUGCUUAACACAUGCAAGUCGAACGGAAAGGCCCUGCUCUUGUGGGGUUCUCGAGUGGCGAACGGGUGAGUAACACGUGAGUAACCUGCCCUUGACUUUGGGAUAACUUCUGGAGACUGGGGCUAAUACCGGAUAGGAGCUCCUGCUGCAUGGUGUGGGUUGGAAAGUUUCGGCGGUUGGGGAUGGACUCGCGGCUUAUCAGCUUGUUGGUGGGGUAGUGGCUUACCAAGGCUUUGACGGGUAGCCGGCCUUAGAGGGUGACCGGCCACAUUGGGACUGAGAGACGGACCAGACUCCUACGGGAGGCAGCAGUGGGGAAUAUUGCACAAUGGGCGGAAGCCUGAUGCAGCAACGCUGCGUGCGGGAUGACGGCCUUCGGGUUGUAAACCGCUUUCGCCGGUGACGAAGCGUGAGUGACGGUAAUGGGUAAAGAAGCACCGGCUAACUACGUG
rnacentral:rRNA from 1 species